CCAGGACUCAAUGAGAAGAUCAAACCUAAGGAUAAUAGGUAUAGAAGAGAGUGAAGACUCCCAGCUCAAAGGACCAGUAAAUAUCUUCAACAAAAUCAUAGAAGAAAACUUCCCUAACCUAAAAAAAGAGAUACCCAUAGGCAUACAAGAAGCCUACAGAACUCCAAAUAGAUUGGACCAGAAAAGAAACACCUCCCGUCACAUAAUAGUCAAAACACCAAACGCACAAAAUAAGGAAAGA
rnacentral:lncRNA from 1 species